rnacentral:lncRNA from 1 species
AGGGUUAAGGGAAGCAGAAACGCCUGGAGUGGAUGAGCAGUGGAUCCACUUGGAGCAGCCUUGCUCGAAGAAUACCCCCAGGAUCUCUCCUUGCUGUGGCAUAUUUUAUCUUGCAUUGAGAGCACUACAGCAUGGGAACUUGUGUUAGUUUCCUCUGGCUGCAGAUUUCCACAAACUGGAUGGCUUAAGACCAUGGAAAUGGAUUCCUUCAGUUCUGGGGGCCAGAAGUCUGAGCCGGGCCUGAGGUGGGUGCGCCCCCUGGAGGCUCUUUGAGGGAGGGCACCCCUCAACCCUCAGUUUCUGGUGUCUGCUGGCGUUCCCCCGUGUGGCCC